rnacentral:tRNA from 1 species
GGUGAGAUGGCCGAGCGGUUAAGGCGCCAGACUAAGGAAAUGGAUCAAAUCACCUGGUGAUUACAUCAUCUGGUCCGAAAGGGCGUGGGUUCGAAUCCCACUCUCAUCA